CGGCUGUAAUGGUCAAACGGUGAAGGCUCUCACUCAAUACUCGCCUUUCCCACACCCACCCCCGUCAGAUCCCCUCCGUUCGACGCCCAGCCCGAACGCCGCGGUGGCUGCACGCUCGCAUGGGUAACCUGCGAUUUUGCCGUGCUGCCCUAAGCAAUGGAGAUGACACUUGAGGGAGGUUUCACUCUGCAGAGGACUCUCCCCCGUCGCGUGGCGGGCUGGAUUACGAUCGCGGAGGGCGUGGGUUGGAUGGGCGAGACGGAGAAUGCCGACACCAUUUUU
rnacentral:SRP_RNA from 1 species